rnacentral:rRNA from 1 species
UACGUAGGGGGCAAGCGUUGUCCGGAUUUAUUGGGCGUAAAGAGCGUGUAGGCGGCCAGGUAGGUCCGUUGUGAAAACUCGAGGCUCAACCUCGAGACGCCGAUGGAAACCAUCUGGCUAGAGUCCGGAAGAGGAGAGUGGAAUUCCCGGUGUAGCGGCGAAAUGCGCAGAUAUCGGGAAGAACACCCGUGGCUAAGGCGGCUCUCUAGUACGGUACUGACGCUGAGACGCGAAAGCGUGGGGAGCGAACAGG